rnacentral:sRNA from 1 species
CUCUGCUCUGCCACAGAUCCUGAUGGCUGACUCAGAAGCACUCCCCUCCCUUGCUGGGGACCCAGUGGCUGUGGAAGCCUUGCUCCGGGCCGUGUUUGGGGUUGUUGUGGAUGAGGCCAUUCAGAAAGGAACCAGUGUCUCCCAGAAGGUCUGUGAGUGGAAGGAGCCUGAGGAGCUGAAGCAGCUGCUGGAUUUGGAGCUGCGGAGCCAGGGCGAGUCGCAGGAGCAGAUCCUGGAGCGGUGUCGGGCUGUGAUUCGCUACAGUGUCAAGACUGGUCACCCUCGGUUCUUCAACCAGCUCUUCUCCGGGUUGGACCCCCAUGCUCUGGCCGGGCGCAUUAUCACUGAGAGCCUCAACACCAGCCAGUACACAUAUGAAAUUGCCCCCGUGUUUGUGCUCAUGGAAGAGGAGGUGCUGAGGAAACUGCGGGCCCUGGUGGGCUGGAGCUCUGGGGACGGAAUCUUCUGCCCUGGUUUCUGGACCCAGGCCAGGCCAGGGAGGCGGCUGCCUGGUCCCUUCAUGCUCUUGUUUGUCACCAUUCCCUGGGGUCAGUGGUCGAGUUCCUGCUGUCUCCGGA